AAUCACAGUACUUUUAAACCCUGGAGAACCAUGAAGAUGGCAGAUUGAAACUCCUUGAUUUACUUGGGAGCACAAGAGAAACCUCUCCCCGAGCUCAUGCAGCUGGACCAUUGACGGCCUGCUCUGGACUGGGCCAUCAUCAUUUCCUGCUUACCUGUCUGGGAGAUGACCAAUGGGGACUGCUCCUCACCACCCCAGUGCAACCUGUGCCUCAGCUCUGGAGUUCUGCAGCCUGCUUCCCCCAGAUCCGGAGAGGGGAGUUGAGAGUGCAGGGGCCUGAGAACUCCCUGAAUGUCAUAGCCACCAUCGAGGAUCCAAGGAAUCUGCCAUCAUCUGGUGUCUCCCAAAAAGCCUCCCAAGAGUGAACCCCAAGUGCUCCUCCCCAGAUGGACACUUCCCUGCACUUUGAUACUUGGUUUGAUCAAAACCUACUGAGACGCCAAGGAGG
rnacentral:lncRNA from 1 species